GAUGAACGCUGGCGGCGUGCUUAACACAUGCAAGUCGAACGAAGCAGCUUUACGGAAGUUUUCGGAUGGAAGUGAGGUUGACUGAGUGGCGGACGGGUGAGUAACGCGUGGGUAACCUGCCUCAUACAGGGGGAUAACAGUUAGAAAUGACUGCUAAUACCGCAUAAGCGCACAGUACCGCAUGGUACAGUGUGAAAAACUCCGGUGGUAUGAGAUGGACCCGCGUCUGAUUAGCUAGUUGGUGAGGUAACGGCCCACCAAGGCGACGAUCAGUAGCCGACCUGAGAGGGUGACCGGCCACAUUGGGACUGAGACACGGCCCAAACUCCUACGGGAGGCAGCAGUGGGGAAUAUUGCACAAUGGGCGAAAGCUUGAUGCAGCGACGCCGCGUGAGCGAAGAAGUAUUUCGGUAUGUAAAGCUCUAUCAGCAGGGAAGAUAAUGACGGUACCUGACUAAGAAGCCCCGGCUAACUCCGUGCCAGCAGCCGCAGUAACAC
rnacentral:rRNA from 1 species